rnacentral:rRNA from 1 species
AUUGAACGCUGGCGGCAUGCCUAACACAUGCAAGUCGAGCGGAUGAAGGGAGCUUUCUCCUGUCUGCUGCUACGGACGGGCGGGUGAGUCCCAGGAAUCUACCUUGCCUAUGGGGAUGACAUCACGUAAGGAGCCCUAAUCUCACACCCGUCCAUAUUUUGAACGGGGGGGUUCUUCGGACCUCAAGGGUCCAGCUGACCCUUAGACGGAUAAGCUAGUUGGUUGGGUAAAGGCCUACCAAGGCGACGAUCCGUAGCUGGUCUGAGAGGAUGAUCAGUCACACUGGAACUGAGACGCGGUCCAGACUCCUACGGGAGGCAGCAGUAGGGAAUAUUGCGCAAUGGGCGAAAGCCUGAUGGAGCAAUGCCGCGUGAGUGAAGAAGGUCUUCGGAUUGUAAAACUCUUUUAGUAGGGAGGAAGGGAAGUGUGUUAAUACCUUGCUGUUUUGACGGUACCAAAAGAAUAAGCACCGGCUAACUUCGUG